UACGGAGGGUGCAAGCGUUAUCCGGAUUCACUGGGUUUAAAGGGUGCGUAGGCGGGUAAGUAAGUCCGUGGUGAAAUCUCUGAGCUUAACUCAGAAACUGCCGUGGAUACUAUUUGCCUUGAAUAUUGUGGAGGUGAGCGGAAUAUGUCAUGUAGCGGUGAAAUGCUUAGAUAUGACAUAGAACACCAAUUGCGAAGGCAGCUCACUACACAAUCAUUGACGCUGAGGCACGAAAGCGUGGGUAGCAAACAGG
rnacentral:rRNA from 1 species